UUUUUGAAAACCUGGCAGCAAGAAACUGAUUUAAAAAACUCUUGUCAUUUAAUUUCUUCAAAUUCAGUCAUUUCAGUUCCUAGAAAGACUUACGGUAAUUUCCUUCAGAAGUACUCAGCAAGCUCAUUUCUGGCCAAAUGCCUUUAAAGCAAGAGCACUGUCAUGAAUUAAAGUACACCCUCUGUGCAGUGCUUCAACAACCCAGCGUGAAACAGAAGAGACAUGCAUCUCUCAAGGCUCACAUCCAGAAGGAAGAGACGCUGACUAAAGUCUUCAGAAUAAGAGUAGAAGAUUUCCUGCCUUGAUUGAUCCUUGAGGAAUGGUCCGUUCCCCAGAUGCUUGAAUGUUGCUCUCUCUCCUGUAUACAAAGUUGAUAUAGAGAAGCUAAUGAUCUCUGCUGAGUAGAAACAAUUAAAGAAGAAACUACCCCAAGGUGAGUCACUGCUUGUUAAUUCAAGAAUCCAGCUGCAAGUGCAGUUACCCAGUUUGCUCAGACAGAUGAGUAUUUUGCAUGCACAGUUACCUAUUUGCACUGUGGACUUAAUUUAGGAGCAAAUGUGCAGUGUUUUUGUUCUUCUGUGUGUGAUGUCAUAACAUUCAGAGAGAGAAAGUGAUGACAGUAUUGUAUUGAUCCAGAGAGCACUUCCAGCUUUGCAAGUUCAAAACUAGUGGGGGAGUACCAGGGGAACAGUCUGUGCAGUAUGAAAGUGGGGGAGGGGAGGAAGGAAGCUUUUCUUUUUGAAAGGCUGAUGAAGAUGAAACCCUCAGGGAGUUCUCUGAGCAAAGAUUCUCUUUUAAGAACUAGCACAUCUUAAGUACAAGUCUCUGGGGAAGUGACAUCACCGUUUCAUUUCAUGUUCAAGGUCACUAAAAUACACCAAAAAU
rnacentral:lncRNA from 1 species